rnacentral:rRNA from 1 species
GAUGAACGCUGGCGGCGUGCCUAAUACAUGCAAGUCGAGCGAACAGACGAGGAGCUUGCUCCUCUGACGUUAGCGGCGGACGGGUGAGUAACACGUGGAUAACCUACCUAUAAGACGGGGAUAACUUCGGGAAACCGGAGCUAAUACCGGAUAAUAUAUUGAACCGCGGGGUUCAAUAGUGAAAUACGGUUUUGCGGUCACUUAUAGAUGGAUCCGCGCCGCAUUAGCUAGUUGGUAAGGUAACGGCUUACCAAGGCGACGAUGCGUAGCCGACCUGAGAGGGUGAUCGGCCACACUAGAGCUGAGACACGGUCCAGACUCCUACGGGAGGCAGCAGUAGGGAAUCUUCCGCAAUGGGCGAGAGCCUGACGGAGCAACGCCGCGUGAGUGGUGAAGGUCUUCGGAUCGUAAAACUCUGUUAUUAGGGAAGAACAACUGUGUAAGUAACUAUGCACGUCUUGACGGUACCUAAUCAGAAAGCCCCGGCUAACUACGUG